AUAUAUAUUUUCUUUAAUAAAAAUGUAAUUUACAUUGAAAGUUGCUAUGGAUUAAUGUCUUAGAAAUUACUUAGGGGUCGUUUGGUUCACUGUAAUGGGGAAAGGGAAUGGGAAUGAUUCCCUUUGUAAGUGUUUGUUUAGCAUCUUUUGUCAUUCCCAUUCUCCAUUUUUAUUUUUGGGUUUACCCGAAAUUGUCCUAAACUCAUUCCCCACCCCCCCCACAGCCUUUUGCAUUCUCUUUCUUUCUCAUUCCUCCUCAUUCCCUCCCACGCAUCUGCCUUCAGACUCAACCCUAACCUGAAGCUUCGAGCUAGCCGCCGCCGCCGCCGCCGCCGUUGUUUCUCCGGUCACCGACAACUCUUACGCAACCUCCGACGACCGCCGUGAAGGUAUGUUUGGUUUAUGAUUUCUCACGCAUCUGAUUUCUCUCUUUUGUGUUCUUGAAUUCGCCUUUUUUUGGUUGAAUUCGUAUUUGUUCUACUUGUACUUCAUGAAUUCGUAUUCCAUUUGGGAUUUAUUUUGUUGAAUUCGUAUUUUUUGUUGAAUUUUGUACUUCUGAAUUCGUAUUCCGUUAGGGUUCUUCGUGUUUUCUAUUUUUCUUUCUUUUUUUUAGUAAGCGGCCCCUAAUUGGGCAUUUAAGGGGUUUACGGCAACACUGGGAUUGGCAACCAUGUAUCUCACCACCACUUUCUCCGUUAAUGUUUUAGCAUUUACAUACUCUACUGAAUUUUUCAGAUCUGAAUUCGUGUGAUGUGUGUUGUAGUGUGGUGUGUUGAAUUCGUAUGUUUUGUUGGGCAAGUGUGGUGCAGUGAUGUUUGUUGGUUUGACUAAUGGUGUAUCGAUUUGUGUAUGAUUAUAUGGUCCUGUUUUGUGUGGGUGUUAUGAUUUGUGUAUGAUUUGUGUAUGAUUAUAUGGUCUUGAAUAGCUGUUUUUCUUUUGUAUUAGUAGAGGUUAGCUUGUUUGGUUCAUCAUUGAUGAUAUAUUAGUAGAGGUUAGUUUGUUUGCUUUUAUUUUGUUUUGUAUUAAUAUUUAAACUUUUCAAUGAUAUGGUGUUGUUGAUGUUCUUUUGUACAGAAAAUGGCUCGUAUUGGUACUUCUUUGAAAAGGAAGAGAAAUUGGGACCACCUUCGUUUCAUAAUUACUAUGAUUAAUUGUGUUAUGUUACUACAUUUGUUGGUGUACUCGAUAAGAAAAACAAUAUACAAUUCUCAACAACUUAAGUUAGAUAAGCACACAAGAAGAAAAAUGAGAUUACACAACUUGAAUAGAAUGAUUAUAGAAAGUGACACUUUGUGUAGGAACUAUCUUCGUAUAAAUCGAUACACAUUCGUUGUACUUUUAGAGAUGGUUAGAGAUAUAGGUGGAUUAAAUGGAACAAGAAACACAUGUUUGGAAGAGAUUGUUGCGGGCUUCUUAUACACAUACAUUAGCUCACCAUAAGAAAAAUAGAAUGAUGGGUGCACAUUUUUAUAGAAGUGGUGCGUGAAACUAUUAGUAGUCAAUUUCAUGCUUGUUUGUUAGCAAUCUUAAAGUUACAUGUUGUUCUUCUUAAGAAACCAACUCCAAUACAAGAUGAUUGCGACGAUGAAAGGUGGAAAUAUUUCAAGAAUUGCUUAGGUGCUUUUGAUGGUACAAUGAUUCUAGUUAAUGUUGCUUGUGAAGAUCGACCCAAAUAUCGUACUAGAAAAGGAACCCUUGCUAUGAAUGUGUUAGAAGUAUGCUCACCUGAAAUGGAAUUUACAUAUGUCUUACUUGGUUGGGAGGGAUCGACACAUGAUGGUCGUAUUCUUCGAGAUGCUAUUUCUAGGCCUAAUGGUUUGAAAGUUCCAAAAGGUUGUUAUUAUUUAUGUGAUGGAGGAUGUACUAAUGGAGAAGGAUUUCUUGCACCAUAUAGAGGGCACCUUUAUCAUCUUAAAGAGUGGAAUAGGGGGGUCAGACAACCAUUAACCGCUGAAGAAUAUUUCAACUUAAGUGUUUUCGUAGAUUUUGUAUCGUUUUAUUGGAAAUUGCGGAUUUAGAGCAUUUUCCCGGAUUUAUUGGAGCCGCUACGAGCAUUGGAGUAAGGUCGCAUUCAUAUGACCACAUUCCGAAGCCCAGGACUGGUUGGAGUCAUCAAAUCGGUGAUUAAGGGCUCGGCAAAGAAGAAGAGUCCGGGGCAAUUGACCAUGUAUUCUAAACCCAAAGAGGAAAUGCGAAUUGGGCUAAGAAACGGCCCAAUUGAAGAAGUCCAAGUUUGCCAGGGAGCUCGCCCGGCAAGGCAAGCCCUCGCCCGAAGGCGCGCCCGGCAGGGCGAGGAAGAAGGAAGAGAGUAGCUGCUAGCCCGAAGGCGCGCCCGAUCGGGCGCAUGUUUCUGAGUUCGUUUAGCACUUUUAUUCUUCGUUUUAGCUUAGCUUUUCUUAGUUUAAUAUAAAUACGCUUUUGUUAAGCGAGUUUGGGACCUUCUUCUCUCUCUCUCUCUCUCUCUCUACUUUUCUCAUUAGUUUAAUUUCUUAGUUUUUAGUUUUAAGCUUUUAGUUAAUACUCUUGAUCCCUCUCGACACUUUUAGUUUAUGCAAUUCUUUACUUCCGUCUACUUUGGUAACGAUUUCUUCCCUCUUUACUUUCAGUAAUUUAAUUGCUUUGAUUUAAUUAUGCU